UGGAGAGGGAAGCACCCGGAUCCGUGUUUAUACCCUUCGAUAAAUAUCAUGAAAUAACUGCGGCAUGGAAUAGGUGUCUAACUCCCACUGCAACAGAUUCGGAGUGGCACAGAACAGCAGAAAGUCUGCAGAUCCCAAAUACAUCUACCUUAUCGACGCAGAACACCUCAACAGUAGCUGGACAUUGGAAGCACCAGAGACAAGUUUGAAAUAGUCAAGCUGAAGGUCAAUCUGCAGAACCCAGGGGAGCGACAGGAAUGUACGGGGAAAUUCUUACAGCCAGACUCAAAAUCUUGCAGUGAGCGGCACUCCAUUAUGCAUUGAAGAUAAUGAUGGUUAUUUCUCAGCCAUGACAUCAGAAGGAAACAAUAAUUAGAACACUUGUGGAGUAUGUGUUCUCACCUUGACCUGGUUCCUUUAUAAUUUUAGACUUUUGCAGCAGGUUAAUUGACGUAAUCAGUGUAGCAGCUGGAGCAGGCCAUGCACAAUGGUGGCUCCUCCUUGUGGUUGGUGAGUAGAUCCGAUGGUGGUAGCAGCAGCAGGAAGAUCUUCUCGGCGUUCGGAGCUGGCAGCAGCGGCAAAGCUCCUCCAGCGAUCCGAGGAGGAGGCGGCAGCAGACGUUUCAAGUUGGUGGCGCUGGCAAGGCGACGUCUCGGAAGAGGGCAGCCGGAGUUGGACUCGUGGCAACAUGGUAUCGGUAGCCUUGUCUGGCAGUGGGGCCUGUGGCUCUUGGUUACAGUAGGCCCAGAGGGGUGACUCCUGGCAUUGACGGGGUGGCGGCUGCCUGGAGCCGGGACUCCCGGCAUCACCAAGGCAGCAGUGGAGCCGGGGAUUCCUAGUUGUGGGGUGAGUGUGUGGGUUGAGCCUCGAAACCAGCAUCAGCAUUGGCAGUGGCAUUGGUGAGCUGGUCCCAGCAGUGAAGAGAUGGCACCGAAAGCAUGGUGACUCCUUACUUCAGUGGGUCCAGUGCAGACGGUGGCAAGGCUGUGGUGGCACUGGUGUCAUUGGUGAGCUGGCUCAGGGAUCAGGGCUCUCCUUCAGUUAUAAACUUUAUCCUUGUUUUCCUUAAACUAGUCAAAUAGUGUCAGAUUGUGGCGACUGUAAAGCUUUUCACUAUUUUACUGUAUUAUUCACUGUAAAAUGCUGUUGUUGGUUCGCUCGUCAGGCUGGUUCAUUAGUUUGCAGACAAUUCUGUCUUUUUCUUUUGCAGUGGUGUGUAUGUAAAGUCUAAUGCAAUGUAUUUAUUGACGGCCUUCAUGGUGGACAAUGGGAAUUUCUCCUCUACAAGGAAAUAUUGGAAAUGUGGUAGCCAACUCCACUGGACCUUAGAGUUUGAAUAACAAGCAGGAAAAUACAACAACACUUCAUCGGAGGCUGCGCUGAUGAUGUUACCCAGCAGGGUAUUGAAACAUCUGCAAGCUAACAAAUUAGCCCUGCAAUCUAGCCAGCCACAGGAUCCACAACCCAAGUUACAGAUCUACUCAAGAACUUUAGACACCAACCGGUGCAGUGCAUUCAAAUAGGCCCGGAAAUGGGAAACUUACACCAAAUGACAGAGUUUUACAUGCGAGCAACUCUACUUGCUACACAGAUUCCUCAGGAACCAGGUAUUACCACACAGUGUGAGGUACAAACCUCCCAUCAACAACUCAUGGGCACAUAGGACAGCAGAGCACAAUGGCCGCAGAAUGGUGAAGAUAAUGAUUAACGCCCACAACCGGCUCCACAGAUAUGACAGGGAAGUUAUGUGCCAAAAAUCCCUAAACCUGGAUGUAACCAACCUACAGUGGACAACAGGCUAAAAACGAGCCAUUAACAUCAGUUAACAAAACACCAGACCAAGAAAAGACAAAUCCUACAAGAAAAACUAACCCACAAAAUGACAGCCAAAGAUCAGAUACAUGGAUAAGAAACCUGUCUGACAGAAAACUAGCAGACACAGAGAAAGCAGUUCUAAUACAUCGACUUAAUUACAACCACAGAAAUGACCAGAUCCAUGAACCAAUCAACAGGACACCUAUGGGGUCACUUAUCACCUAUCUCUGGACUAAUAGCAGAAGCGGUGAUGCAGAGACUCGAAAGCACAGCCUUUCCGCAGAUCCAACCCAAACUAUGGAUCUGAUACAUGGAUGACACUUUUUUCAUCAUCAAGCAGACUAAACUAGAAGAAACGCACCAACUUAUAAACGAUCUUUUCACCAGCAUCAAAUUCAAUAAAGAAGGUGAAAACAACAAUCAGCUCCCAUCCCUGGACAUGAUGGUAGAACACAGGGCCAACAGGGAAUUUCUGACAAAGGUACACAGAAAGGCCACACACAUUGUUCAAGCCCUAAAUUUUAACAGUAACCACUCCAACACUCACUGACGGAGUUGUGUAAAAGCUCUGUUCAAAUGAGCCACAACACAUUACAGCAACCUAGAACUACAUCAAAAUGAAGAGUACCUCCACCAAAUAUUUAGAGACAACAGAUACCCAAACAGCUAGGUCCGCCAAUGCCUGUCACACAACAGGAAGAUACAGUACGCCUGACAUACUUGUCACAUUAUCUUAUGUCAAGAGCGUACCUGAACUGACCAUAAGACUCCUACAGGUAGUGGACAUCAGAGUAGCACACAAACCUACAUCAACCCUAAGCCAACUGCUUACAAGAACCAAAGACCCCUUACUCACUAUGAACAGAACCAAUGUAAUAUACAAGAUCCCAAACAAAGACUGCAACAAACAUUACAUUGGACAGACAGAAAGGAAACUGACCACAAGAAUACGUGAACACCAACUAGCAACAAAAAUACACGACCAAUACUCACUCGUCUCCAUUCACAUAGAUAAGGAGAAACAUCAGUUUGAUUGGGACAAUGUCAGAAUCUUAGGACAAGCCAGAGACAAGAAUGGGAAUUUCUAGUGGCUUGGUUCUCCACUAUAAGGCCAUCAAUAAACAUGUAAAAUUAGAUCCUAUAUACACACCACUACAAAGAAACACCAGAAAUGAGGCAAUCAACCCCAACAGACCCCAGAGUUUAAAUCACAGCAGGAGAACACAACAGCGCUUCAUUGGAGGCUGCACUGAUGAUGUUACCCAGCGGGGUAAUGAAACAUCUGUGAACUAAUGAACUAGAUCAGCGAGCUAACCAACCACAGCAUUCACAACUUGAGCUACAAAUCUGCUCAAGAACCUCAGUCACUGUAAAAUGCAGGUGACAAUAAGUAAAUAGAUUGUUCAUUCAUUUUUAUUUCUUUCAGGGUAUUGUGUACUCAUUUCUGGUUGGAAGUGGGAGUUCAGGGGGAGGUGGAAAGUAUUUAGACUUGAUGCUACAACCAUCACGCGUGUGGAUCCUGCUUGGUGGAUCAAAUAGUCUUUUCCGGCCCAUCAGAUGUUCCAGUGAUGAAUUUAGUGCCAGGGAGAUGGCACCUGCUGUGGACCUAUUGCAAUGGUGGGUGAAUUAGUGUGGAUGAAGAUAGUCUGGAAUGCUGGAGCUGAUGUGUGCCACGAUCCACCUCUUGAAUUUGGACAGCACUUCAGCAUUGGAUAUUCUCGGUCUGGAAAUCAGUAACUCACUAGGGUCAUCACUUCCAACCACCAGGAGGUUACAAUUAGGAGGCAGAUCCCUCUUGCCUUGCCUGAGGAUGUUGAACAAUCCUUUUGAUGGGUUGAGAAGCCCUCAAGUUGGAAGGUACAGUCAGGUGAAGCAGGAUUGAGCCAUAGCUCUGUAAAACAGAGCUCACAGUAGUUUCUCAAUCUGUUGAGUCCAAUUUAAGUUCAUCCAGCCUGUUUCCAAUGGCUUGGACUUUUGCCAGGAGUAUGUUGGGAACGGGGAUCUUGAAACCAUGUUGUUUCAGUCUCAUCUGUGUUCCAGUCCACAUUUCCUCGGUAAAUGGUUGCUUCUGGUCAGGCCCAGGAGUCAAAGUGGAAGAUUUGUCAUUCCAGAAGCAAAAGCAAAAACUGCACAACAUCUGACUGCAACUGUGGAAACUCAGACUGAACCCAUGCAAACUCUGAAUUCAGCCACCAUGACGACAUAAGGCAGGAUGUCACUGCAGUUUAGCAACUCAUUAUUAGGAUUGUUGAGGAACCAUCCUGGUGGAGUGGCGCAAUGAACAUGAACCUGCUGUUUUUUUGUCAUUCCUCCCCUCACCUGAGCCAUAUCCUUAGCGUCUGCAAACCCCCAGUCAAAAUUGUCGUCAUCCAUAGAAUGUUACAUCUACAAAGGUGCUUUCAAUGGCCAGAGCUUCUCGAAGUCAUCUGUAAAACAGACAGGCUCCUUCUGCUGAGGUUCUGUAUAAUCAGGUCAUUUGAGAAUAGUUCUAGUGAUCGCACCUACAUCUUCCCAAUCACAAACAGUAUUUUCCUUUCUUCUUUUAAUAAUCAUCAUCUUGACUCCCUCAAUUGACUGUUCACAUUAUAACUGAUGCGAAUUGCAAAGUAGAAUCCAAAUUCAUGAGAGUUGAUAAUUACUGAGAGACAAUCUGACUCUAAUCACCUUUGUACAUGCUCUUUGUAUCUGUCUAAUAUGUACAUUUGGUCUAAUCUAAUGAUCCUUUGAGGUGUAACCCAGUGGCUAGACCUUGUGAGGUGUAAAGUCUGUGUUGUUCAACUAAAGAGACUGCAGAUGACUUUUAUUGAUGCAUUUAAGCAGAUCUAGACCAGAAACACCUCGUAAGAGACACCAUGCUGAAUCUUAGGCUUUCUUUCUUGUCUAAUUAUCAGUUUUGUUGAGUUUCAUGGUGCAUUUCAGCUCUGUGAGGACGAGCAAGUUUUCUUACAAAACUUGCCUCAAAAAUCACCUACCAGCCGUUUUCACAACUCUUUAGUCUGAGUCUAGCCCAAUUCUGCCACUCACAUUACUCAAAACAACUCACCACUGCGAGAUAUCCCAGAAUCAAUAGGUAUUCCUGGCACUAGUGCCAAUUUUAAAAGGCACCAUGCAAGCAGAGAACCAUUCUCAGCCCUACACAAGACUCAACAUUAACCCUAGACAUGGCAGGACAGGGAAAAUUGACCUGCUGUGUUCAUCCAGCCUCACAUUUUAUUAUCUUGGAAUUCUCCAGCAUCUGCAGUUCCCAUUAUCUCUGAUACUAUCUUAACCUCACUGCGAAGCCUCUUCCAGGGAAAAUUGACACCCUGCUUUGCAGGCAGGAACGUGGAGAGCCUGCCGAAUCGGUAGUGCAGAGGUGGGUGUCUUCUUCUCCCAGGACUGCAAGUUAAUGCCUUCCUGGAGAAGUGGAUUCAGGAUGAUUCAAUGCUGAUGACAAGCCAGGGGCAGAAGCAGGUCAAGGUAGAGGAUGAGGAGCAUCCGGCUCAGGGAGAUGUCACAGCCACAGUGUCCCCUGAAUUGUGUGAGAUCUACGAGAGGACCAAAGCUUUUUGGCUCUGACAUCAUCUCCUGGGGACGAGUGAGGCACAUUACUCCUUUACAGAAUGUGAUAAGCUAGUCGCAAGGUUGAUAGUCAGUCUGAAACAGCAGUGAUAGAAAUCAGACAGAUUACAUUUGGACCACCUAACGCCCAUUGAUGGAAAAUAGUCUAAUCUUCAAAUAAAGAAUCCACAUUAUUUUUUCAGCUAUCCUUGUGAGUAUUUAGCACAUUUACAUCUCAGUAGAAUGUAACUGACACAAGAGAUCUUCUGAUGUUCCUGUUUUUAAUGUUAACCCCCAAAACUGCAGGGCAGUUUUGUUUUGUUAUUUUGGAGUGACAGAGUAAGUCACGUGUAUACACUUCUUCCUGCUUAUCUUGCAGACUAAAGUACAUCACUCGUCCUGCCUUUAUGUUUUCAGUAAUAUCUUUAUUGUAUUGCAAUAUUGGGAAAGUUACAUGGAGCACCAUUUAAUAAAAUAUCAGUAUAUUACAAUGUAGAUUAUCUGAUACAUUUAUUGAAAAUUGCCAUCUUGGAAUCUUUAAAUUUUUACAUCAGAAAAUCCCAGUCGCUUCUUUGUAACAUAACUGAGAUCGUACUGUCCACUUCUCUCUAUUAUAACAGAGUGUCUCAGUCUCUGUGUUUACAGAUUUCAGAAAUGAGGAUAUGUUUCAGAAACAAUAAUUAAAAUACUUGUAUAUCUUGUAACAAAGAAGACAAUCAGUGAAUUACAGAAUCACGAUUUAUCAGCUUUGUGCACAAAAUAGAAAAUGUGCUUUUGAAUCAUGAGGGAAAUAAAUGAAUGUCACAUUAACUGAGACAUUUCUCACUGUUUGAAUUAAUGCCAACGUAUCUGGUGCAAAUUAAUCUGCAAUUUUUCCAAAAUGAGUCUGAAUAUUUGAACUAUCUUCAAGCAAAGUCAGCUUUCUGCAACCUGGUGAUCUGAUAUCAAUACUAUUAAUGGCAGAAACAGAUAAUUGCCAAAAAGAAAGUAAACAAUUAUUGAAGCAACAUUUUUUCGGUUACAUUGCUCGUAACGUUUGUAGAAGGUCUGAAACAACUUGUGUCGAGGGAUGUUUUUGUAAUAGCUUCUUCCCUGUUCCACAUUCUUGCCCAUUUUGUUUCACUUGCAGAACCAAGUUCUUAUGAACAUUCUUCUCUGUUUCAGCCUCCUCUGAUAUUUUAGAAGUUCCUUAAUACUUCUUCCAAGAGAGAUUUUGUAGCAGGAAAUGUCCCAAGGAAACACAUCCAAAGAGCUCCUUUGUAGGCUGGCAAGCCUGAGCUCUAUCUUAAGGGUCUACCUUUUUUCUUUAAAAAAAAUUCUUGUUUAGAAACAGCUAAACAUCGGAAGAGGCAUGAUAUAGGCAGAGCCAAGCAAUCCUAUAAAAAAGAACAGAUCAAUUAUCUGAACCAAAAACAGAAAUUGUUGGAGAAACUCAGCAGAUUUGGCAAUAUCUGUGGAGUGAAAGUAGCGUUAGUCCAGUGACUAUCCCUCAGACCACAGCAGUCCUGUCCCAUGCAGUCAUGAAUGUUGAUGGACAGUUCCAUAACUAGCAGGAAAGGGAGGCUGUAUGCACGUUGUAAAUUAUGAACGCAGAAGACAAGGCUGAAGCAUUUUCUUCUAACCUCUGUCAGAAGUGCUGAGUAGUCCUGAGUAGAUGACAUACCUCAGCCUUCUACUAAUGUUUCUACAUUCACAGAAGUCAGUGUUCAGCUUAUUUGACUUACUUCAUGUGAUAUGAAGAAAUUUUGAGUACAUUGGAUAUUGUAAAAGCCACAAGCAAGAUAAUAGCCUACUCCAGUGCUGAUGACAUGUGGUCUGAAGCUGCUUAUGCCUCUGGUAGCUGUUUUAAUCCAUGUAAAAUACUGGCACCCAACUGACAUUGUAGGAAAUUGUCCAAGGAAAACUAUUCCCAUUAAAGUCAAAUCAGAUUUGGUUCGGUAAAUUACCUAUUAGUCUUUCCUUAAUCAAUAGCAAUCUGAUGGAAAAUGUUGUAAACAGUGCAAUUAAGAGCAAUUACACAACAAAUGAUCUCCAGACUUAAUGGCAGCCCUGGUCCAAACAUGGAGCAAAGAGCAAAAUUCCAGUCAGGAGGUGAGAG